rnacentral:rRNA from 1 species
UACGAAGGGGGCUAGCGUUGCUCGGAAUUACUGGGCGUAAAGGGCGCGUAGGCGGCACUGUUAGUCAGGCGUGAAAGUCCUGGGCUCAACCUGGGAACUGCGCUUGAUACGGCAGAGCUAGAGGAUGGAAGAGGGUCGCGGAAUUCCGCGUGUAGCAGUGAAAUGCGUAGAGAUGCGGAGGAACACCGAUGGCGAAGGCAGCCCCCUGGGCCAAUACUGACGCUCAGGCACGAAAGCGUGGGGAGCAAACAGG